rnacentral:rRNA from 1 species
AGAGUUUGAUCCUGGCUCAGGAUAAACGCUGGCGGCGUGCCUAACACAUGCAAGUCGAACGCCCUUUUUCGGAAGGGAGUGGCGGACGGGUGAGGAACACGUGGGGAUCUACCUUGAGGUGAGGAAUACCAGCGAGAAAUCGCUGACAAUACCGCAUGAGCUUUUUCGGAAGCAAAGUCGCAAGACGCCUUGAGAUGAGC